CACACUGCGUGAUCAGCGCUCCCAUUGGCCGCCGCGGCGUUGUUUACAUCCCCACCGACCAAUCACCGAGCCGACCGCGGAGCGUGGACAGUGUGUGUAAGAUGUACCGGGAGGUUGCGAAGGGAGGGAGAGGAGUGGAGGAGAGAGUGACGGGAGAGCGGGCCAAAGAGAGGCAUUCACCCUAUCCUGAUCUAUUGUGGUCCAUUUUGGAAUCGUUUAAAAGGGCUCUUCCACGGAGUUGAGUAGGAGUCAGAAGCUACUACUACGGAUGUAAUUCAACCACGUGAAUGCAGAGACGCAAUUUUAGAGUCUGUGAACCGUCACAUCACUACAGCCCGUAACACAAGCGGUGAGAACAAGGAAUGCCUAGCUGGGAGAGAUGGCCAGAUUUCAUUUGUUUGCCUGGUAGAGAGUGACUUCUUCUGGACAUGGUCAGUAAGACACCAUAUGAUUCCAGGCUGAAAAGAGGCAGUGUUGCCUGUUCGGUGCCAUCUACCUACCCAGCUAGCAACUGUGCCGUGUAAUAUUAUUGUUUUCUUUUUAACUUCAUUGCCAAAUUACUUUGUGAAACCAACCCACCGGGCCAGCUCCGCCUUUCUCAACAGCUGGACUGCGUACUAACUAAUAAUACCGGAAGCUCUUAUAAAGCACAAGAAUUAGCAACUGGCAAGAGCCACUUCCCCAGUGGCCAUCCCUUCCCUCGGCGCUGGGUCUGCCAUUCGGAAGACCCCAAAGACGAAUGGGACCCCACGUUGCCGGAGGCAGCAGGGGAGAGUUCGCUCCACAUCUCCUCCACGGCCCAGAUUCCUGUGAGCACAUCAACCCCUUUCUCCUUCCUCGUUGGCUUCCUGUAGAAUGGCGAGUCUCAUUCAUGGCCUCCGGCCUUAUUUUGAGGGGUCCUCAGUGGCGCCAACCUAUUUAAAAGAGACUGAAUGAUCCGGGAUGGGGACUGCGGUUGACAACUCCUUUUCCCAGGUCCAGUGGAACCUCUUACCAUCAGGGCAAAGUUCAGCUAUGUAGGAGACAGAGCUGUGAAUAAAGAAAAGUUAUUUACUUGU